AUACGUAGGUGGCGAGCGUUGUCCGGAAUUAUUGGGCGUAAAGAGCAUGUAGGCGGCUUAAUAAGUCGAGCGUGAAAAUGCGGGGCUCAACCCCGUAUGGCGCUGGAAACUGUUAGGCUUGAGUGCAGGAGAGGAAAGGGGAAUUCCCAGUGUAGCGGUGAAAUGCGUAGAUAUUGGGAGGAACACCAGUGGCGAAGGCGCCUUUCUGGACUGGUUCUGACGCUGAGAUGCGAAAGCCAGGGUAGCGAACGGGAUUAGAUACCCCGGUAGUCCUGGCCGUAAACGAUGGGUACUAGGUGUAGGAGGUAUCGACCCCUUCUGUGCCGGAGUUAACGCAAUAAGUACCCCGCCUGGGGAGUACGGCUGCAAGGUUGAAACUCAAAUGAAUUGACGGGG
rnacentral:rRNA from 1 species